AACGGCCGCGGUACCCUAACCGUGCGAAGGUAGCGCAAUCACUUGUUCUUUAAAUGAGGACUAGUAUGAAUGGCAUCACGAGGGUUAUACUGUCUCCCUCUUUUAAUCAGUGAAACUGAUCUUCCCGUGAAGAAGCGGGAAUACAUCUAUAAGACGAGAAGACCCCAUGGAGCUUUAAACUCAGUAUCAACUGCCCUCCCAAUAUAUCCACCUAAUUAAGCAGACAUGACUACUAGUUUUUGGUUGGGGUGACCGCGGAGCAAAACAAAACCUCCACGAUGAAAGGAAUUAACCUCCUAAUCAAAGAGCUACAUCUCUAAGAAUCAACAAAUUGACAUUUAUUGAUCCAAUUUUUUGAUCAACGAACCAAGUUACCCUGGGGAUAACAGCGCAAUCCAUUUCAAGAGCCCCUAUCGACAAAUGGGUUUACGACCUCGAUGUUGGAUCAGGGUAUCCCAGUGGUGCAGCCGCUACUAAAGGUUCGUUUGUUCAACGAUUAAAACCCU
rnacentral:rRNA from 1 species